UACGUAGGUGGCAAGCGUUGUCCGGAUUUACUGGGCGUAAAGAGCGCGCAGGCGGUCGGCCAAGUCGAGUGUGAAAGCCCCCGGCUCAACUGGGGAGGGUCAUUCGAUACUGGUCGACUCGAAGGCAGGAGAGGGAAGCGGAAUUCCCGGUGUAGUGGUGAAAUGCGUAGAUAUCGGGAGGAACACCAGUGGCGAAGGCGGCUUCCUGGCCUGUUCUUGACGCUGAGGCGGCGAAA
rnacentral:rRNA from 1 species